CCUUCUCCGUGUCUCUACUCUUUUCUCUGGGCUUGCCUCCUUCACUAUAGGUAAGCUUCCACCUUCCAUUCCUCCUCCUUCUCCCUUAGCCUGUGUUCUCAAAAAUUUAAAACCUCUUCAACUCACACCUGACCUAAAACCUAAAUGACUUAUUUUCUUCUGCAAUGCCGCUUGACCCCAAUACAAACUCAACAGUAGUUCCAAAUAGCCAGAAAACGGCACUUUCAAUUUUUCCAUCCUACAAGAUCUAAAUAAUUUUGUCGUAAAAUGGGCAAAUGGUCUGAGGUGCCUGACGUCCAGGCAUUCUUUUACACAUCAGUCCCUUCCUAGUCUCUGUGCCCAGUGCAACUUGUCCCAAAUCUUCCUUCUUUCCCUCCCACCUGUCCCCUCAGUACCAACCCCAAGCAUCGCUAAGUCUUUCUAAUCUUCCUUUUCUACAGACCCAUCUGACCUCUCUCCUCCUCCACAGGCUGAGCUAGGUCCCAAUUCUUCCUCAGCCUCCGCUCCUCCACCCUAUAAUCAUUUUAUCGCCUCCCCUCCUCACACCUGCUCCGGCUUACAGUUUCAUUCUGUGACUAGCCCUCCCCCACCUGCCCAGCAAUUUAUCUUAAAAAGGUGGCUGGAGCUAAAGGCAUAGUCAAGGUUAAUGCUCCUUUUUCUUUAUCCCAAAUCAGAUAGCGUUUAGGCUCUUUUUCAUCAAAUAUAAAAACCCAGCCCAGUUCAUGGCUCGUUCGGCAGCAACCCUGAGAUGCUUUACAGCCCUAGACCCUAAAAUGUCAAAAGGCCAUCUUAUUCUUAAUAUACAUUUUAUUACCCAAUCUGCUCCCGACAUUAAAUAAAACUCCAAAAAUUAUAUUCCGGCCCUCAAACCCCACAACAGGAUUUAAUUAACCUCGCCUUCAAGGUGUACAAUAAUAGAAAAAAGUUGCAAUUACUUGCCUCCACUGUGAGACAAACCCCAGCCACAUCUCCAGCACACAAGAACUUCCAAACGCCUGAACCGCAGCGGCCAGGCGUUCCUCCAGAAGCUCCUCCCCCAGGAGCUUGCUACAAGUGCCAGAAAUCUGACCACCAGGCCAAGGAAUGCCUGCAGCCCAGGAUUCCUCCUAAGCCGUGUCCCAUCUGUGUAGGACCCCACUGGAAAUCGGACUGUUCAACUCACCUGGCAGCCACUCCCAGAGCCCCUGGAACUCUGGCCUAAGGCUCUCUGACUGACUCCUUCUCGGCUUAGCAGCUGAAGACUGACACUGCCCAAUCACCUCGGAAGCCCUGUAGACCAUCACGGAUGCCGAGCUUUAGGUAACUCUCACAGUGGAAGGUUCCCACGCUGCCCCUAAUCCCACUUGAAGCAGCCCUGAGAAACAUCGCCCAUUCUCUCUCCAUACCACCCCCCAAAAAUUUUCACCGCCCCAACACUUCAACACUAUUUUGUUUUAUUUUUAUUAUUAAUAUAAGAAGGCAGGAAUGUCAGGCCUCUGAGCCCAAGCCAAGCCAUCGCAUCCCCUGUGACUUGCACGUAUAUGCCCAGAUGGCCUGAAGUAACUGAAGAAUCACAAAAGAAGUGAAUAUGCCCUGCCCCACCUUAACUGAUGACAUUCCACCACAAAAGAAGUGUAAAUGGCCGGUCCUUGCCUUAAGUGAUGACAUUACCUUGUGAAGGUCCUUUUCCUAGCUCAUCCUGGCUCAAAAAGCACCCCCACUGAGCACCUUGCCACCCCCACUCCUGCCCGCCAGAGAACAAACUCCCUUUAACUGUAAUUUUCCUUUACCUACCCAAAUCCUAUAAAAUGGCCCCACCCUUAUCUCCCUUCCCUGACUCUCUUUUUGGACUCAGCCUGCCUGCACCCAGGUGAAAUAAACAGCCAAGUUGCUCACACAAAGCCUGUUUGGUGGUCUCUUCACACGGACGCGCAUGAAAGCUACAAGAUCAGAUGAGCCAGUUUAUCCAUCUGGGUGGUGCCAACUGUUCCAUCAAGUGCAGAGUCUGCAAAAUAUCGCAAGCACUGAUCUCAGGUUUUACAAUAGUGAUGUUAUCCCCAGGGGCAAUUUGUGGAGAGUCAGAAUCUUUAAUCUUUACAUGACUGCUAAACCAUAAUUUCUAAUCUUUUGGCUAAUGUUAGUCCUACAAAGACAUUCUAGUCCCCAGGCAAGAAGGGGAAGUAGGGGUGUUGUUUCCCUUUUGUUUCAGUCUUUCUUCCCUCAGGCUUUUUCUGAGGGUAAAGGAAACUGUCCCCCACCCCGCCAUCACUCUUGGUGGUUAGGGAUAUCAGCCUCAGUCCAAGCCAGGCUUUCUAUGACAUUUUCCUGAUUUGUCUGGAAUGAACAGGUGAGCAGCAGCUCUCUGCCCCACUCCCCUCCCGGAAGAGACUGGGGCUCAUGGCCCAAAGGCCACAUGUGGCAGGCUGGCCAGUGUUCCUAGCCACACAUCCACAGUGUCUUCCCCUCUCCUGGCUGAGGGCUCUAGCUCCAUGCGAACCCCAGGGAACAAACAGCAAUUAAGUUUCUCUCCCUCUUGGAGAAACCAUUUGCAUAAGAAUAAGAGCUUCUUCCCUCAGGCAUCUUUCCAACCCUGCACUUUGAGGGUCUUUUUUUUUUUCCUUUUCUCAACCCUGUCAGCAGUUAACACAGCCCUGCACUUUAAGUUGGGGUUUUUUUUCUUCUUUUCCAUGGGUCAACAGUUGUGUGAAAGGCUUUUGUUCAUGUGCAUCCAUUUGAAGAGACCACCAAACAGGCUUUGUGUGAGCAACAUGGCUGUUUAUUUCACCUGGGUGCAGGCGGGCUGAGUCCAAAAAGAGAGU